AUUGAACGCUGGCGGCAGGCCUAACACAUGCAAGUCGAGCGGAUGAAGGGAGCUUGCUCCCGGAUUCAGCGGCGGACGGGUGAGUAAUGCCUAGGAAUCUGCCUGGUAGUGGGGGACAACGUUUCGAAAGGAACGCUCAUACCGCAUACGUCCUACGGGAGAAAGCAGGGGACCUUCGGGCCUUGCGCUAUCAGAUGAGCCUAGGUCGGAUUAGCUAGUUGGUGAGGUAAUGGCUCACCAAGGCGACGAUCCGUAACUGGUCUGAGAGGAUGAUCAGUCACACUGGAACUGAGACACGGUCCAGACUCCUACGGGAGGCAGCAGUGGGGAAUAUUGGACAACGGGCGAAAGCCUGAUCCAGCCAUGCCGCGUGUGUGAAGAAGGUCUUCGGAUUGUAAAGCACUUUAAGUUGGGAGGAAGGGUUGUAGAUUAAUACUCUGCAAUUUUGACGUUACCGACAGAAUAAGCACCGGCUAACUCUGUGCCAGCCGCCGCUGUAAAAC
rnacentral:rRNA from 1 species